ACUCAAAGGAAUUGACGGGGACCCGCACAAGCGGUGGAGCAUGUGGUUUAAUUCGAAGCAACGCGAAGAACCUUACCAAAACUUGACAUCCCAGUGACAGCUUUUUAAUCGAAGCCUUCUAAGUUUACUUAGACACUGGAGACAGGUGGUGCAUGGUUGUCGUCAGCUCGUGUCGUGAGAUGUUGGGUUAAGUCCCGUAACGAGCGCAACCCUUAUCUUUAGUAGCCAGCAAGUUAAGUUGGGGACUCUAGAGAGACUGCCAGGGAUAACCUGGAGGAAGGUGGGGAUGACGUCAAAUCAUCAUGCCCCUUAUGUUUUGGGCUACACACGUGCUACAAUGGCUGCUACAAAGGGAAGCGACUGGGUGACCACAAGCCAACCUCAAAAAAGCAGUCCCAGUUCGGAUUGUAGUCUGCAACUCGACUACAUGAAGUUGGAAUCGCUAGUAAUCGCGAAUCAGCAUGUCGCGGUGAAUACGUUCCCGGGUCUUGUACACACCGCCCGU
rnacentral:rRNA from 1 species